GAGAUAACUCCUACUGGAUGCAGCAGUGGGGAAUUUUGGACAAUGGGGGCAACCCUGAUCCAGCAAUGCCGCGUGAGAGAAGAAGGCCUUCGGGUUGUAAAGCUCUUUUGUCAGGGAAGAAACGGUAGUAGCUAAUAUCUAUUACUAAUGACGGUACCUGAAGAAUAAGCACCGGCUAACUACGUGCCAGCAGCCGCGGUAAUACGUAGGGUGCAAGCGUUAAUCGGAAUUACUGGGCGUAAAGCGUGCGCAGGCGGUUGUGUAAGUCAGAUGUGAAAUCCCCGGGCUCAACCUGGGAAUUGCAUUUGAGACUGCACGGCUAGAGUGUGUCAGAGGGGGGUAGAAUUCCACGUGUAGCAGUGAAAUGCGUAGAUAUGUGGAGGAAUACCGAUGGCGAAGGCAGCCCCCUGGGAUAACACUGACGCUCAUGCACGAAAGCGUGGGGAGCAAACAGGAUUAGAUACCAGUGUAGGAAUCCACU
rnacentral:rRNA from 1 species